rnacentral:rRNA from 1 species
CGACGUAGGGAUCUAUCCACGGGUGGGGGAUAACAGCGGGAAACUGCUGCUAAGACCGCAUGAAGCCCCAAGGUCAGAAGCCUGGGGGCCAAAGGUAUUGGGGUGACCCGAUAUCGCCGGUGGCGGAGCCUGCGUCCGAUUAGCUAGUUGGUGGGGUAAAGGCCUACCAAGGCGUCGAUCGGUAGCUGGUCUGAGAGGAUGGCCAGCCACACUGGGACUGAGACACGGCCCAG